rnacentral:rRNA from 1 species
UACGUAGGUGGCGAGCGUUGUCCGGAUUUACUGGGCGUAAAGGGCGUGCAGGCGGUUUGCUAAGUCUAGGGUGAAAGCUCCCGGCUUAACUGGGAGAGGUCCUUGGAUACUGGCAGACUUGAGGAGGGUAGAGGAGAGUGGAAUUCCCGGUGUAGUGGUGAUAUGCGUAGAUAUCGGGAGGAACACCAGUGGCGAAGGCGGCUCUCUGGGCCCUACCUGACGCUGAGGAGCGAAAGCGUGGGGAGCGAACAGG